rnacentral:rRNA from 1 species
UAGGUAGGACCUGCUCACUGAUAUUAAAGAGCCGCAGUAUACUGACUGUGCUAAGGUAGCUUAAUAAUCAGCAAUCUAAUUAGUUGCCGGUAUGAAUGGUCUGACGAAAGAUCCCUUUUCUUAUUCUUCUUAGAAGUUAAUUUAUAAAUUAAAAAGUUUAUUAACCAUCGGAGGACGACAAGACCCUAAAACCUUUUAAAUCAUAAUAUAGAUUUUUUUACUGGGGCGGUAGUAAAUCCAAUUCGUAAUCAACAUAAACACAGUGUGUGAUUACAAUCAACUUCUAUAAAAACAAAAAGGUACUUUAGGGAUAACAGCAUAAUUCUUAUUUAGAGCAACCCUAUCGACAUAAGAGUUUAUGACCUCGAUGUUGAAUUGAUAGCGCCCUACUAAGCAGAAAUAGUAAUAAGCAGGUCUGUUCGACCUUU